CGAAAGUUGAGUUAUCCCCUGGCAGGGUCAUAACCAUGAGCGCCGAAUACAGGGCACAACAUAGUCACCUCCCCAUGGAUUAUUUCAUGUUCAAAAUUAAAAUUUAAAUACAGUGAUAAAUUCCUCACCCCCAAGACUUUUUUGAAACACGGUGUCCGUGGGCUUAGUUCUUUUAAAAAUAAACUAAAAAAACACAUUAUUAUCUAUGUCGCACAAUAACCAUGUUUAUAAUGAUUAAAUAUUAUAUUACAAUGUUAAAUUUUUAA